rnacentral:snRNA from 1 species
GGAUGUGAGGAUGUGAGGCUUUGACAUCUGUCAUCUUAUUGAUCGCCAGGAUUGAUUUGGCUGAUCUAGCUGGCAAGGCGGGUGUCCCCUUCCUCCCUCACCAGUCCAUGUACAUCCCUCCUGAGACAGACUCCCCCCCACACACAUACCGAAUAGAGAGAGACUGGUCUUCUGUUAUACCAGUAGCUGCAUUUCCCUUCUAGAACCUCCGAACAAGCUCCACAGGGGAUGCCGGGGAUCUAACCCCGGUCAGCCACAGGCAAAGCAAAUGUUUUACCUGCUAUACUAUCGCUCUGGCCCCCCAAGAGGAAAAAAAUAAUU